CCCCCCGGUGUCAGACCCAUAUCUCUAUCACCCCCCGGUACCGGAUCCACACCCCGCGGUUCGGUACCAAGGUAUCGGUGAGCAGGCGGUGCCGGCUCCGUGCGUGUGUCCCCGUGCGGUACCGGAGCGGUUCCGUUUGGGUCCAGGGCCGGGUAAUAGGGCGCCACGCGCAGCUCCACGUCCUGCAGCCGAUGGGUUCUCCGCAGCACCCGCGGCACCACUGCACGGAGACACACACAGAGCCCAUAGAGCCGCGCUGGGGGGAGGGGGACCCCAAAACCCACCCCCCAUAACAGAGGGGGUGGCACCGGGAACCCCAAAUGGGGCAAAGUGGGACCCCACAGCGGUGGCACCGGGACCCCCCUAUUGGGACCCCCAUAUUGGGACCCCCCCCCCAUAGGUGACACCGGGACCCCCAUAUUGGGACCCCCAUAUUGGGAUCCCCCCCAUAGGUGACACCGGGACCCCC
ensembl:lncRNA